GCUCCCAUGGUGUAGUGGCACCUGCGCUCGCCUUGCACGCGGGAGACCCGGGUUCGAUUCCCGGCGGGGUCA
rnacentral:tRNA from 1 species